UCAAACAUAUAUUUCAAUGAUUAAACACAAACAUUAGUAUCAUCAUUUGUCUCAAAAACUAAACAUUAAGCACAUUCAUUCCAACGAUUAAUCAUAAAGGAUCUACUACAUCCAUUCAAGCAAUUACUAUACUUAAUUAUCUAAUACAACUGCACGACAAAAUUAACUUCAUUGAUUGUUAUUUGGAUUACUUCAAUUGGAGGAUCUUCUUUUAUUCAUACGUGAAAUGGAUCCACUAGCUGCAUCACUUGGCUACAAAAAGAAUUUAAAUUAUAAUUAAUCAAAAGGACCACAAUAAAAUCAUAUUCAAUAAACUACAACUUAGCUAAUUAAAAGAGAUCAACUUAGAUCAUUUCAGCAGAAAGCAAAAUAUGAAUACAAG
rnacentral:lncRNA from 1 species